rnacentral:rRNA from 1 species
GUUGAACGCUGGCGGCAUGCUCUACACAUGCAAGUCGAACGGUAACAGGCCGCAAGGUGCUGACGAGUGGCGAACGGGUGAGUAAUGCAUCGGAACGUGCCCAGUCGUGGGGGAUAACUACUCGAAAGAGUAGCUAAUACCGCAUACGAUCUAUGGAUGAAAGCGGGGGACCGUAAGGCCUCGCGCGAUUGGAGCGGCCGAUGUCAGAUUAGGUAGUUGGUGGGGUAAAGGCUCACCAAGCCAACGAUCUGUAGCUGGUCUGAGAGGACGACCAGCCACACUGGGACUGAGACACGGCCCAGACUCCUACGGGAGGCAGCAGUGGGGAAUUUUGGACAAUGGGCGCAAGCCUGAUCCAGCAAUGCCGCGUGCAGGAAGAAGGCCUUCGGGUUGUAAACUGCUUUUGUACGGAACGAAACGGCUCUGGUUAAUACCCGGGGCUAAUGACGGUACCGUAAGAAUAAGCACCGGCUAACUACGUG